GUUGGUUUAGCUCAGUGGAUAGAGCUUAGGUUUUGAGACCGGAAGGUCCCGGGAUCAAAUCCCGUCAGAGGCG
rnacentral:tRNA from 1 species